GCGGAUAUGGCGGAAUUGGCAGACGCGCAUGGGUCAGGUCCAUGUGAACGCAAGUUCAUGCAGGUUCAACUCCUGUUAUCCGCA
rnacentral:tRNA from 1 species